CUCACCGAGGACAAGGUCGCACAUAGGCAGCACACGACGAGGCGCGGACGCGGCAGGAAUUCCAGCUCCGGCGAGAAAUUCAAGGCGAAAGCACGAGUGCUUUCCCCCAAUAGCGCCAAGGGAACCUUCGCCUCACCCAGAAGAAGCCUCCCCACCGACGCAAUUGGCCGGAGCGCCUAUGGUUUCGAGUUCCACGGCGGCGGUGAAUCUCACCCGCGCGGUGCACGGCAACGCAGUGGUGGUGGUUUUUGGCUUCUCAGGAUGAUUAUGGCUUUAUGGGUCAGGAGCAUGCAUCAGGCUCCAAAU
rnacentral:lncRNA from 7 species